GACGAACGCUGGCGGCGUGCUUAACACAUGCAAGUCGAACGGUAAGGCCCUUCGGGGUACACGAGUGGCGAACGGGUGAGUAACACGUGGGUGAUCUGCCCUGCACUUCGGGAUAAGCCUGGGGAACUGGGUCUAAUACCGGAUAGGACCACUGCCUGCAUGGGUGGUGGUGGAAAGCUUUUGCGGGGUGGGAUGGGCCCGGGGCCUAUCAGCUUGUUGGUGGGGUGAUGGCCUACCAAGGCGACGAGGGGUAGCCGGCCUGAGAGGGUGACCGGCCACACUGGGACGGGGUUAGGGCCCAGACUCCUGCGGGAGGCAGGAGUGGGGAAUAUUGCACAAUGGGCGCAAGCCUGAUGCAGCGAAGCCGCGUGAGGGAUGACGGCCUUCGGGUUGUAAACCUCUUUCAGCACCGACGAAGCGCAAGUGACGGUAGGUGCAGAAGAAGGACCGGCCAACUACGUGCCAGCAGCCGCCGUAA
rnacentral:rRNA from 1 species